CAUCAUGAUUUACAUUUGAGUGAGUGGCGAACUGGUGAGUAACACGUGGGAAACCUGCCCAGAAGCGGGGGAUAACACCUGGAAACAGAUGCUAAUACCGCAUAACAACUUGGACCGCAUGGUCCGAGUUUGAAAGAUGGCUUCGGCUAUCACUUUUGGAUGGUCCCGCGGCGUAUUAGCUAGAUGGUGGGGUAACGGCUCACCAUGGCAAUGAUACGUAGCCGACCUGAGAGGGUAAUCGGCCACAUUGGGACUGAGACACGGCCCAAACUCCUACGGGAGGCAGCAGUAGGGAAUCUUCCACAAUGGACGAAAGUCUGAUGGAGCAACGCCGCCGUGAGUUGAAGAAGGGUUUCGGCUCGUAAAACUCUGUUGUUAAAGAAGAACAUAUCUGAGAGUAACUGUUCAGGUAUUGACGGUAUUUAACCAGAAAGCCACGGCUAACUACGUGCCAGCAGCCGCGGUAAUACGUAGGUGGCAAGCGUUGUCCGGAUUUAUUGGGCGUAAAGCGAGCGCAGGCGGUUUUUUAAGUCUGAUGUGAAAGCCUUCGGCUCAACCGAAGAAGUGCAUCGGAAACUGGGAAACUUGAGUGCAGAAGAGGACAGUGGAACUCCAUGUGUAGCGGUGAAAUGCGUAGAUAUAUGGAAGAACACCAGUGGCGAAGGCGGCUGUCUGGUCUGUAACUGACGCUGAGGCUCGAAAGUAUGGGUAGCAAACAGGAUUAGAUACCCUGGUAGUCCAUACCGUAAACGAUGAAUGCUAAGUGUUGGAGGGUUUCCGCCCUUCAGUGCUGCAGCUAACGCAUUAAGCAUUCCGCCUGGGGAGUACGGCCGCAAGGCUGAAACUCAAAGGAAUUGACGGGGGCCCGCACAAGCGGUGGAGCAUGUGGUUUAAUUCGAAGCUACGCGAAGAACCUUACCAGGUCUUGACAUACUAUGCAAAUCUAAGAGAUUAGACGUUUCCCUUCGGGGACAUGGAUACAGGUGGUGCAUGGUUGUCGUCAGCUCGUGUCGUGAGAUGUUGGGUUAAGUCCCGCAACGAGCGCAACCCUUAUUAUCAGUUGCCAGCAUUAAGUUGGGCACUCUGGUGAGACUGCCGGUGACAAACCGGAGGAAGGUGGGGAUGACGUCAAAUCAUCAUGCCCCUUAUGACCUGGGCUACACACGUGCUACAAUGGAUGGUACAACGAGUUGCGAACUCGCGAGAGUAAGCUAAUCUCUUAAAGCCAUUCUCAGUUCGGAUUGUAGGCUGCAACUCGCCUACAUGAAGUCGGAAUCGCUAGUAAUCGCGGAUCAGCAUGCCGCGGUGAAUACGUUCCCGGGCCUUGUACACACCGCCCGUCACACCAUGAGAGUUUGUAACACCCAAAG
rnacentral:rRNA from 2 species